rnacentral:rRNA from 1 species
UACGUAGGGCGCAAGCGUUGUCCGGAAUUAUUGGGCGUAAAGAGCUCGUAGGCGGCCUGUUGCGUCCGCUGUGAAAUCCCGGGGCUCAACCCCGGGCCUGCAGUGGAUACGGGCUGGCUAGAGGCAGGCAGGGGAGAACGGAAUUCCUGGUGUAGCGGUGGAAAUGCGCAGAUAUCAGGAGGAACACCGGUGGCGAAGGCGGUUCUCUGGGCCUGUACUGACGCUGAGGAGCGAAAGCGUGGGGAGCAAACAGG